rnacentral:tRNA from 1 species
ACAUUGGUGGUUCAGUGGUAGGAUUCUUGCCUUCCAUGUGGGAGACCUGGGUUUGAUUCCUGGCCAGUGUA